UACGUAGGGUGCAAGCGUUAAUCGGAAUUACCGGGCGUAAAGCGUGCGCAGGCGGUUAUGCAAGACAGAUGUGAAAUCCCCGGGCUUAACCUGGGAACUGCAUUUGUGACUGCAUAGCUAGAGUACGGUAGAGGGGGAUGGAAUUCCGCGUGUAGCAGUGAAAUGCGUAGAUAUCAAGUGGAACACCAGUGGCGAAGGCGAGUCUCUGGACAUUUCCUGACGCUGAGGCACGAAAGCCAGGGGAGCAAACGGG
rnacentral:rRNA from 1 species